rnacentral:rRNA from 1 species
UACGUAAGGUGCAAGCGUUGUCCGGAAUCACUGGGCGUAGAGGGCGCGUAGGCGGUUUGAUAAGUAGAAGGUGAAAGAUUCGAGCUCAACUCGAAAACUGCCUUCUAAACUGUCUUACUUGAGGGUCUGAGGGGAAACUGGAAUUCACGGUGUAGCGGUGAAAUGCGUAGAUAUCAGGAGGAACACCAGUGGCGAAGGCGGCCAUCUGGAUCAACACUGACGCUGAGGCACGAAAGCGUGGGGAGCAAACAGG